rnacentral:rRNA from 1 species
GACGAACGCUGGCGGCGCGCUUAAUACAUGCAAGUCGAACGGGAACCUCGGGCUUCGGCCUGGGGGGAGAGUGGCGAACGGGUGAGUAACACGUGAGGAACCUGCCCCGGAGACCGGGAUAACCCAGGGAAACCUGGGCUAAUACCGGAUGCUCUCGUCGGACCGCAUGAUCUGACGAGGAAGUGGAUUCCGCUCCGGGAUGGCCUCGCGGCCUAUCAGCUAGUUGGUGAGGUAACGGCCCACCAAGGCGACGACGGGUAGCUGGUCUGAGAGGACGGCCAGCGACACUGGGCCUGAGUAACGGCCCAGACUCCUACGGGAGGCAGCAGUAGGGAAUCUUGAUCAAUGGGCGAAAGCCUGAAGCAGCGACGCCGCGUGCGGGAUGAAGGCCCUCGGGUCGUAAACCGCUUUCAGCAGGAACGAAAUUGACGGUACCUGCAGAAGAAGCCCCGGCCAACUACGUGCCAGCAGCCGCGGUAAAAC